UGCCGCUGUGAGUCGAGGUGAAGGU
rnacentral:piRNA from 1 species